AGAGACAGCAGCCGCCGCGGGAAUACGAAGGGUGCAAGCGUUAAUCGGAAUUACUGGGCGUAAAGCGUGCGUAGGCGGUGAGUUAAGUCUGCUGUGAAAUCCCCGGGCUCAACCUGGGAAUGGCAAUGGAUACUGGCUCGCUAGAGUGUGUCAGAGGAUGGUGGAAUUCCCGGUGUGGCGGUGAAAUGCGUAGAGAUCGGGAGGAACAUCAGUGGCGAAGGCGGCCAUCUGGGACAACACUGACGCUGAGGCACGAAAGCGUGGGGAGCAAACAGGAUUAGAGACCCCGGUAGUCCCUGUCUCUUAUAC
rnacentral:rRNA from 1 species